GCCUAGUUAGCUUGGAAGGUAGAGCGCCGGCCUUGUAAGCGCUAGACAUUGGGUUCAAUUCCCGCCCAAGGCA
rnacentral:tRNA from 1 species